rnacentral:rRNA from 1 species
GAGGGGAGUGAAAAAGAACCUGAAACCGUGUACGUACAAGCAGUGGGAGCACCCUUUGGGGUGUGACUGCGUACCUUUUGUAUAAUGGGUCAGCGACUUAUAUUCUGUAGCAAGGUUAACCGUAUAGGGGAGCCGUAGGGAAACCGAGUCUUAACCGGGCGUUAAGUUGCAGGGUAUAGACCCGAAACCCGGUGAUCUAGCCAUGGGCAGGUUGAAGGUUGGGUAACACUAACUGGAGGACCGAACCGACUAAUGUUGAAAAAUUAGCGGAUGACCUGUGGCUGGGGGUGAAAGGCCAAUCAAACCGGGAGAUAGCUGGUUCUCCCCGAAAGCUAUUUAGGUAGCGCCUCGUGAAUUCAUCUCCGGGGGUAGAGCACUGUUUCGGCUAGGGGGCCAUCCCGGCUUACCAACCCGAUGCAAACUGCGAAUACCGGAGAAUGUUAUCACGGGAGACACACGGCGGGUGCUAACGUCCGUCGUGAAGAGGGAAACAACCCAGACCGCCAGCUAAGGUCCCAAAGUCAUGGUUAAGUGGGAAACGAUGUGGGAAGGCCCAGACAGCCAGGAUGUUGGCUUAGAAGCAGCCAUCAUUUAAAGAAAGCGUAAUAGCUCACUGGUCGAGUCGGCCUGCGCGGAAGAUGUAACGGGGCUAAACCAU